rnacentral:miRNA from 1 species
CAGGUGGAGGUGUGAGGUC